GACACCAAUUCAAUCCAAAGUUCCCAGAACUCAAGUAAUGGUGACUUUCGUUUCUGCCUACUAAAGACAUAUCUCAACUCCACAGAAUAUUUUCCCCGCUGGAUGUACAAUGGAAAUUGGAUGCAUUUUAAAUUAAGUUGCUCUUGGAAUCAAAGAGGAGUCUCUGAUACAAAGACUACUACCUGGUUUAAAAAAAACCCAAAACUACCUGAUACAAAGAAGAUCGAGAAAAGAUCUCCGAAGGUUACUCUUGAUAUGCUGAUCCAAACAUUUAGAACAUCAUGAUACGAAUAACCAAUUCCACUUAUGGGAAGAUUUCGGAGAAUUCAACCUGUUCUAUCAUGUGACCUUUGUUGUACCUAUUGUCUUUCUGUAAUGCACACAAUAAAGUUUGACAGUGGCAAGCAGU